UGGCCAGUGAUGAAAUUCUAGUUGUACAGACACUACGAGUGAAAUGAACUGCAACAACACCCAUAGAAUCUCUGAGGCCU
rnacentral:snoRNA from 1 species